rnacentral:rRNA from 1 species
UACCAGCACCUCGAGUGGUCGGGACGAUUAUUGGGCCUAAAGCAUCCGUAGCCGGUUUUACAAGUCCUCCGUUAAAUCCAGCUGCUUAACAGAUGGGCUGCGGAGGAUACUAUAAGACUAGGAGGCAGGAGAGGCAAGCGGUACUCAGUGGGUAGGGGUAAAAUCCGUUGAUCCAUUGAAGACCACCAGUGGCGAAGGCGGCUUGCCAGAAUGCGCUCGACGGUGAGGGAUGAAAGCUGGGGGAGCAAACCGG